UUACGGUUAUAUCACGUUGAAACAUCGGUUCCUGUAUAAUCACCGAAGUUAAGCAACGUCUAGCCUGGUCAGUACCGAGAUGAGUGACCACUUGGAAAUACCACGUGCUGUAA